rnacentral:miRNA from 1 species
AUGUACCUCGCCAACUGGAAGGGCUUCCUUCCAGUUGACGAGGUACAUGUACCUUGCCCACUGGAAGGAAACCCUUACCUCUCCUGCUGGAAGGAAGCCCUUCCAGCCGGCAAGGUACAUGUACCUUGCCUGCUGGAAGGAAGCCCUUCCAGUUGGCAAGGUACAU